rnacentral:rRNA from 1 species
UACGUAGGGAGCAAGCGUUGUCCGGAAUCAUUGGGCGUAAAGCGCGCGUAGGUGGCCCUGUAAGUCCGUUGUGAAAGUCAAAGGCUCAACCUUUGAAAGCCGAUGGAUACUGCAGGGCUAGAGUACGGAAGAGGCGAGUGGAAUUCCUGGUGUAGCGGUGGAAUGCGCAGAUAUCAGGAGGAACACCAAUAGCGAAGGCAGCUCGCUGGGACGUUACUGACACUGAGGCGCGAAGGCGUGGGGAGCGAACAGG